rnacentral:rRNA from 1 species
GAUGAACGCUGACAGAAUGCUUAACACAUGCAAGUCCACUUGAACUUCGGUUUGGGUGGCGGACGGGUGAGUAACGCGUAAAGAACUUGCCUCACAGCUAGGGACAACAUUUGGAAACGAAUGCUAAUACCUGAUAUUAUGAUUUUAGGGCAUCCUAGAAUUAUGAAAGCUAUAUGCGCUGUGAGAGAGCUUUGCGUCCCAUUAGCUAGUUGGAGAGGUAACGGCUCACCAAGGCGAUGAUGGGUAGCCGGCCUGAGAGGGUGAACGGCCACAAGGGGACGGAGACACGGCCCGUACUCCUACGGGAGGCAGGAGUGGGGAAUAUUGGACAAUGGACCAAGAGUCUGAUCCAGCAAUUCUGUGUGCACGAUGAAGUUUUUCGGAAUGUAAAGUGCUUUCAGUUGGGAAGAAAAAAAUGACGGUACCAACAGAAGAAGUGACGGCUAAAUACGUG